rnacentral:rRNA from 1 species
UAGCAGAGGGUGCGAGCGUUAAUCGGAAUUACUGGGCGUAAAGCGUGCGUAGACGGUUUAGUCUAAGUCGGAUGUGAAAGCCCCGGGCUCAACCUGGGAAUUGCAUUCGAGACUGAAUAGCUAGGGUGCGGUAGGAGGGAAGCGGAAUUUCCGUGUAGCGGUGAAAUGCGUAGAUAUCGAAGGAACAUCAGUGGCGAAAGGCGGCUUCCAUGGAC